UGGGGAAUUUUGGACAAUGGGCGCAAGCCUGAUCCAGCCAUGCCGCGUGCAGGAUGAAGGCCUUCGGGUUGUAAACUGCUUUUGUACGGAACGAAACGGCUCUUUCUAAUAAAGAGGGCUAAUGACGGUACCGUAAGAAUAAGCACCGGCUAACUACGUG
rnacentral:rRNA from 1 species